AAAUGGGAAAGAUGUAGAACAUAAAAUAGUAAAAGAAAAAGGGAGAUGAGUCGUUAGUGCGUGGAAAGAAAUCAAACAAAGAAAAAAAAACAAUAAAGUAAUGAAUAAAAGACAAUCAAUAUUAGUAUGGGUGUUAAACAAGGAGCAGGUCUUGUCUUUUAUGUAAGCGCACGCCACGCAUUAAAAGGAGGCAGAGCCUCUUUUCUCUAGGCUAUUACGGAAAAACGGUGGCUUUCUCUCAAUUUCUCCUUGGUUCUUCGUAUAAAAAAAAAAUGCUGAUCUACGAAAAUCUAGCCAUUCGAUUUUAGAUCCGACUUUGGUAACGUGAUCCUCAAAGCUCGAUCUACGUUUUGACCGAACGUUUUGAGAUUUUCUGUGGUUUGGAGUUGGUAGGAGCUUCCCGAACAUUUGGUCUUUGCUUGACAAAUUUUUGUAAUGCAUUGCAGGGUGGUGUCUAGGAGACCUAGUGCUUAAUAUCCGCGCAACCAAGAUGCGGCAAACCCCCGCAACCGUGCAGACAUUGAUGCUUUGGUUGCAGGUUCUGCGGAUAUAGAUAAUGACUCGUCCACCUAGCGUAUGGGAUAUUAUGAUUGGAGCACAUCGCGACAGUCAUAUGUCACAGACUCAUGGGUAGUCUGCAUUUGGGUAUUUUAUUUAUGGCUCGUGUCAUACGUGACAUAUGUAUUUAUUGAGCCUGUAUUUAGUAUGUAAUUAGUGUAAUAUGUUUUAUAAGCUUUAAUCAGUUAGACAUGUAAAUGACUCUUGUCGUCGAUAACAGUUAUAUAUUAGAUGUAUUUCCGCUAUUGAUAUGUGUUCCGUUGCACAUGAAUAUUUAUAUUCCGCUGUGUUAGAUGUAACUCUGAAUAUCAGGUACAUGUUAUGGAACGUGUACCUAUGUUGGCUGAGCGGCAAAUAGUCGUGCCACUGUGAAGAUCCGUUUAUACGUUUUCA